rnacentral:tRNA from 1 species
GCCGACAUAGCUCAGUGGUAGAGCACCGCUUUUGUAAAGCGGGUGUCGAGGGUUCGAAUCCCCCUGUCGGCU